CCUGGUUACUGAACAGGUGAGGAGGACCUCUGGCCUGCACCAGGGUUCCCUGGUUACUGAACAGGUGAGGAGGACCUCUGGCCUGCACCAGGGUUCCCUGGUUACUGAACAGGUGAGGAGGACCCAGACUGUGUCCCAAAUGGAACGCUUUUCCUUAUUUACGGUGCACUACUUCUCUAUGAGCCCUCUAUGGGCCCUCUAUGAGCCCUCUGUGAGCCCUCUAUGAGCCCUCUAUGGGCCCUCUAUGAGUCCUCUAUGGGCCCUCUAUGAGCCCUCUGUGAGCCCUCUAUGAGCCCUCUAUGGGCCCUCUAUGAGUCCUCUAUGGGCCCUCUAUGAGCCCUCUGUGAGCCCUCUAUGUGCUCUCUAUGAGUCCUCUAUGAGCCCUCUAUGUGUCCUCUAUGAGCCCUCUAUGGGCCCUCUAUGAGCCCUCUAUGGGCCCUCUAUGAGUCCUCUAUGGACCUUCUAUGAGCCCUCUAUGAGCCCUCUAUGGGCCCUCUAUGAGCCCUCUAUGUGCUCUCUAUGAGUCUUCUAUGAGCCCUCUAUGAGCCCUCUAUGGGCCCUCUAUGAGCCCUCUAUGUGCUCUCUAUGAGUCCUCUAUGAGCCCUCUAUGGGCCCUCUAUGUGCCCUCUAUGAGUCCUCUAUGUGCCCUCUAUGGACCUUCUAUGAGCCCUCUAUGGGUCCUCUAUGUGCCCUCCAAGAGCCCUCUAUAAGUCUUUUAUGGGUCCUCUAUGAGCCCUCUAUGUGUCCUCUAUGAGCCCUCUAUGUGUCCUCUAUGAGCCCUCUAUGUGUCCUCUAUGAGCCCUAUGGGUUCUGGUCAAAGUAAUGCAGUGUGUAGGAAUGGAAUAGUAUUAGUUGGUCGGUGUGGUUGUGAAGGAUCAUUCAGGAUGGAUCUGAUCUGUGUGUUUGGG